GAUCUCACUGUAUAUUCCUGGCUGGCCCAGAACUCUGUAUUGACCUCGCUGGUCCCAUAAAAAUCCAACUGCAUCUGACUCCCAAUGCUGAAUUAAAGGUAUUGCAAAGUAAUGAUCAAAAGAUUAGAUAUGGAUUCUUGUGGAGCUCAAAUCCUUGUGGAAAAAAAGAUAACAUGUGGAAACAAAUAAAACAUAGCCCGGGAAUGAUUUGCAAUGUUAAAAGUGUUACAAAGUCAAAAUAAGGUGUUGAAUAAAAGAGUGACAAGGGGACAAUGUGUGAAUCUGCUGUCAAAUAUCAGUUUCUAUGCUGAGAUCUGAAAGGGUGAGUUGUUUAGCUCCAACAUGCCUCUCUGCCACAGUCCUCUGCGUUAUGAAAUACGAGAAACAAUCUAGUCAACUGACCAUGAUAUAAAACUGCUGAAGACAUGAGCAAAAUGCUUUCUCCUGAAAAGAUGUUUAUACAUGUUUUCAUGAUGGUCAAUAGUAGACUAAAAAAGAGGUACAAUGGAAAUUCAGAAUGGAAAAACAGACACAUUUGGAUACUGGAAUUUUGAUCAGCACUAAGAAGAAAAGAGCUAUACAGCAAUGAGAAGAUAUAAAGAUAUAUCCACAUAUAGUAUAUAUCAUGUUUCAGUUGGGUUCCCUCACCAAACUGAAAGCCCAUAUAUUAUAGAUUUCAAGCAAUGAUGUUUGGAAACACAUA